UUUUAUGCCAAUCUUUUUUGACAAACUCUAGUGGUAGACCACUCCCAAAACAUUUCCCUCCUUUUAAGCUUUCAUUGUUUGAUGAGUGAGGUCUUUUUCGGAAAGUCUUACAUGCACAUAAUGUUGAGAGUAUCGGGAACGACAAUGCUUGAUCUUCAUUCUUGCUAGAUUGGGCACUCUAUUGUCUAGCUAUAGGUGGGGGGGGGGGUGAGUGUUGUGAUUAUGAUUUGGGAGAAAUGAAAAAAGAAAAGAAUAGACUCUUUGUGCUUAAGUGAAUUGUUUUAUUGGGAUAAGUAGAGAAGCCUCUAGCUCAAGUUUUGAAAAGUCUUGGCCCCUAGCCUUAAAAAAAAAUGAAAAAAAACCGAAAAAAGAGAAAAGAAAGAAAAGAGGGCUAGCAAAGUUGUUAGGAGCUAAGAAAUGUUUUGAGGUUGUGAAAAAUCCCUUGUAGAUUUCAAAGAGAAAGAGCUGAUGUUCUUAGAAUCUUUUGGUGAGAGAUGUGAGUUGGGUUUGACAUUGAGAAAUGAUUGUGUAAUUGUAUGUUUGGGAAAAUGGUAGAACAAUGGAGAUUGAGCAUUGUAUGCAUGAGUUGAUCCUUUUCUUAGAUAUAUUAUGUCCAAUGUUAAGUCUACUUGUUUCGAGAGUAAACCACCUUAAAGAUCAUAUGUUUUGAACCUCUUG
rnacentral:lncRNA from 1 species